AUCCGCGCUGCCCUCAAACCAAAGCACGCAGACUGUUUUUAUUUAUAGGCUGUUUCAACUUCAAUUUCAAAUGAUUUUCUAACAAGUUUUUAUUUUCUAAGAACAGUUUGAAUUUAGGUGUGUUCCGCCUCCUCAUUCAUUCACAUAAAAAUAGUCAUUUUUACUUUUGCGGACAAUUUUAUUUUUGGGACAUUUCUGACCCGGACAAAAUUCCCCAAGCACUUUCCAAUUGUUUGUGCAGUUCAAGUCUGCAGACAUUUGCUAAUCUCCCGUCAGAACAGGAUCUGCACACGUGUUCACAUUUUCCAUCUGUUGCCCUCAUUGUUUUCGUUACUAAUAAUAACUUUGGAAAUGUGUGCGUUUCUAUCAAAUGGCGCAGCGGUCAAAGGCACAACACGGGGUCAAAGGCACAGCACGGUGCUAGAGACGUCACUACAGACUCCCUGGUUCAAAUCCAUGCUGCGUUUCUAAAAACCAAAAACAGUAUUUGCCAAUAUCAUAACUGGACAUCUUUCGAGCUGAAGAUUGAGGACAGCUUUUGUAUGCUAACGUUCUCUCCUUAACAGUUUUACUGGAUGGAAACACAGCAAGAAAACACAUAGGCCAAUAUUGACUGAACAACAACUGCAUUUCCACCCCCACCUCUAAAGGCAUAGUAUCAUGGCAGGUCACCUGUCAAGUCACCUGUCAGACAGGCAGACUUUGCAGUGCCUCCGUGUGCGACUACCUUGAGCAGCAGUUUGAGGGACUUUGCAGGGAAAAUGCCGUGCAGUGAGGCGUAGGGGAUUGUCUAAAGCAGGGCGACCCCCAGUGGAGGGGCGCCGAGGGGUGUGGUGCUCCUCCAACAGCUCUCUCAUGAGGUUCUCUCUGUAUUUUUG
rnacentral:lncRNA from 1 species